rnacentral:rRNA from 1 species
UACGGAGGGGGCUAGCGUUGUUCGGAAUUACUGGGCGUAAAGCGCGCGUAGGCGGCUUUGUAAGUUAGAGGUGAAAGCCCGAAGCUCAACUUCGGAAUUGCCUUUAAGACUGCAUCGCUAGAAUCGUGGAGAGGUGAGUGGAAUUCCGAGUGUAGAGGUGAAAUUCGUAGAUAUUCGGAAGAACACCAGUGGCGAAGGCGACUUACUGGACACAUAUUGACGCUGAGGUGCGAAAGCGUGGGGAGCAAACAGG